rnacentral:tRNA from 1 species
CUUCAAAGAGCUGUACUUUUAGCGUUAGUCUUUUAAACUAAAGAAAAUAUAUUAUUAUUUUUGAAGA